AGUGAACGCUGGCGGCGUGGAUUAGGCAUGCAAGUCGAGCGAUUCGGUUUUUGGCCGUAAGGCUAGAAGCCGAAUAGCGGCAAACGGGUGAGUAACACGUGAGUAAUCUGCCUUCAGGACUGGAAUAGCCCAGAGAAAUUUGGGGUAAUGACAGAUGUGACUACGACCCUGCAUGGGGACGUAGCAAAAGACGGGGACCGCAAGGCCCGUCACCGGAAGAGGAGCUCGCGGCCUAUCAGCUUGUUGGUGAGGUAACGGCCCACCAAGGCGAAGACGGGUAGCUAGUCUGAGAGGAUGUUUAGCCACACUGGAACUGAGACACUGUCCAGACUCCUACGGGAGGCUG
rnacentral:rRNA from 1 species